CCCCUUCCCUCACUCUGUCACCCCCUCACUCUGUCACUAGUCACCCCCUCACUCUAGUGACAGAGUGAGGGAGGGGGUGACUAGUGACAGAGUGAGAGAGAGGGUGACACAGUGACAGAGUGAGGAAGGGGGUGACACAGUGACAGAGUGAGGAAGGGGGUGACUAGUGACAGAGUGAAGGAGGUGGUGACUGUCACUAGUCACCCCCUCCCUCUCUCUCUCUGUCACUAGUGACACCCUCCCUCACUCUGUCACUAGUCACCCCCUCUCUCUGUCACUAGUCACACCCUCCCUCUCUCUGUCACUAGUCACCCCCUCCCUCUCUCUGUCACUAGAGUGAGGGGGUGACUAUUGACAGAGUGA